GCGUAGGGUACGUAGGUGGAUAAUUAAAAAUACAGUUAAAGGCUGAGGUUUAACCUCUUCACUCUGUAUUCACUGGUUAUCUUGAGUUUUGAAGGCAGCUUCUUGAAUUCUUGAAGGAAGGGUGAAAUUGUUGAUAUUGGAAGACAUUCGAAAGCGAAAGCAUGAGCUGAUUCAGAUCUGACACUAGGUACUAAAGUAUGGGGAUAAAUAGGAUUAGAGACCUAGUAGUCCAUACCUUAACCAUGAGUGUUCAACAUCUUUUAGGAGUAUAUUUGAUAUAUUUUUAUUAGGGGUUUAAAGCUAACGCGUGAAACACCGCCUGGGGAAUGUGGCCGCAAGGUUAAACUCAAAGGAAUUGACGGAGACUUAUACAAGG
rnacentral:rRNA from 1 species